rnacentral:lncRNA from 1 species
CAGCCUAGCUGGCCGUCUCGCAGGUCCCUCUCACCCCCUGCGCCGCCGUCGCACCGUGCCCUCCCCCAUUGCGGGCUCUGUCAUUCUCAAACCCAGGUCGACCCACUCUUCCCGCCCACUGGCCCGCCGCAGCUCCCUCCAUUGGCUCGCGGCACCUGUCCGUUUCCUGGGAGAGUUCAGCACCUCCCGGCAGGAAGAGGCUCCGGCCUCAUUGGGUGCGUGAGAAGGGAAGGGUGGAUCCUAAAAGAUCCCUUUUACAGUUGGAUUCUCCCUCUUGGAUCUGGCUCUGCCUUAGUCCGACCUAGAGGGAUCAGCUUCGCCCACGCCCACUCUCACCCGGAACCUUUCAUCUCUUAUUGAAGCCUUUUAGGCCCAUUGGGAUGUUCAUUAGAACUCUGAAAACUACAGUUCUCCCCUUUAUGAGGACUGCACCACAGCUCGCCCUCUCCUGGGUUCCGGUAAGAAGAGAUUCCAAUACCACUCUUUUUUCAGAAUUCAGAAAGGCAAGAGACCACCUUACUGAGCUUCAAACUGGGGCUGGGAACGCUGCCAUGAAUUGGGCUUGGUCUGUCUGAAGGGAGCCACCUUUUCGACAAUCCUUAGACUUCUUUUGCCUGUUGGAAUUACACCUUGGAUCGUGGCGAAGUCUAUAGAGGUCAGAUUAAGAAGAACCAAAGCAGAAUAAACGUAGAACCCGAUGCUGAGUUCACGAGUGAGGACGACCUCUUCCUAUAUGCUUUGCUAUACCCUGCGUUUUGAACAUUAAGGACGAGAUAGGAGGCCCAUAAUGUUUCUUCUUGCUUUAAUCCUGUCGUGGCAACGUUGACUUCCAGUAAGAAAGCCUGGUUGCAGAGUGAGCCCAUGGGACAGCCCUCUGAAAUUAUACUGCUUACAACCAUGCUGAGUCUGCAAGGACUUCGUCCAAGCCUUUCCGUCCAGGACCUCAAACAGAUCCAAUCACAAGAAGAGAGAUUUCAGGAAAGAGAAAAUUAUUCCUAUCAUCGGGGUUUUUGAAGAACAUGAAAUGACUGGGAAAAUAAUCAUGUUAAGUGGAAAAAAAAAAGAAAUCUAUCUGUUGUAAUUUUCAAAUAAUUUUUAAAUAAAUUUGAAAAAUUAAGAGAACUAUAUAUAUAAUACAUUCCUAAUCUUGUGAAAAAUAUAUAUGCAUUAAUAUUAUUGAAAGAAAUAUAUCAAAAGGUGAACAGCAAUUAUCACCAAUCUAGAUUAUGAGAUUAGGAGUGAUUUUUUUUCUUUGUCCUAUACUAUUUAAUAUUUUCUACCAUUAAAAUAUUCUGAUUUUCUAAUUAGAAUAGUACGUUAGACAAAGAAGGACAAAUAUCACAUGAACUCUCACUCUCUUAUGGAACAGAUCUUGUGGAAUCUAAAAAAGUUGAACUCAUAGAAAAAGAGGAAAAUGAUGGUUACCAGUUAGAAAAAAGGAAUAAGUUCAAGAGAUCUAUUGUACACCAUGGUCAAUAUAGUUAACAAUAUAUUUUAUACUUUAAAAUUGCUAAGGUAGUAGAUUUUAAGUGUUCUCACCACACAAAAAAAUAAGUAUGUGAAAAGCAUAUGGUAAUUAGCUUGAUUUAACCACGCCACAGUGCAUACAUAUGUCAAAACAUCAUGUUGUAUACUAUAAAUAUAUACACUUUUUGUCAAUUUUAAACAGGUUAUAAAAAAACAUGUUAUUGUUGAUAAUUAUGAAAAAUUUUAAUGAUGUGGAAAUGUGUACAGUAUAAUGAUAAAUGAAAGAGUAGUAAAAAUCCUUAUAAAAUAUAA